UCGAAUUGCUUGUUUGAGUGAUCUUAUCGUGACAUUGACUGAGCCCACCUUUGUUUGAAUGUUGCCUCCAGGUGUGGUUGGUGGCUGGAUCCAUGGCAUAGUCGAAAAAAUACAGUUUGAAUGGCCAACUCACCGACCAAGGGCCGAGUUAAAACUAGUGCAUGGCGAAGGAAGGUACCGUAAGAAGAAACCAUCGAAAGUGGUUACUUGAUCAGGCGACUUUGUCACUUCCACUAAGCUCUGAACGUUUCCAGAUGCAGAGAGAGAGGAAAAGUAGUCCAAUCUGAACGUCCCGAGAUCAAUACAUGUCGACAAUAAUCAUUCUUUUGGCUCGGCAUAGCUGAUCAUUUUGAAGAAUGAAGCAAACAUUGCCUUGGUGAUCGCGUUCAAGUCCAAAACUCUGGUUGGUGAAGAAAACCGACGUGAUUGGAUGCAAUCGAUUUGACCUGAAACGAGAGGCUCGUCAAAUUCCCACACGGAAAAUCAUUCAAUCCUAAAAUUGCUCUGUCAUUAUGAUCUCAUAGAGGACCCUUGACCUUUUCUGAGCACUCCCAGAGAUGUUAACAAAUGGAGCGUCAAUUGUCUGUCAUACCUACAAAACCCCAUUUUUGUGGAUUCAAUAUGCUGCCGCUGGGGAUGGCAUACAUUGCAGGUUUAUAAUUUGAUUGGAUUGGAAUGUACUUAUAAGUACAAGUACUUUUUUUAAUAAAAAGGUCAGUGGGUUCCUUGGUACAUGGAACAUACAUCAGGCUUGAAUUGGUGACUAGAGCGAUUUGGCGUAAUUGAUACACUCUAAACUUAACACCUGGCCAAAUUCUAAAAUAGCUUGUUUACUAACCAUUCUUAGUGGUUAAGUACUUCACUCAUCGCACUCUUGGCCAAAUUCGUUUGACAAGGUGAUCGCAAAGAUAAGACAAAUGCACAAUAGAAAAAAUUAUUCCUUUUCCAAUGCUACUCGAUAUCAAUCAAAUGAAAUAGAAAACUGGUAAAGGCUCAAGGGUACUGAAUUGAGCUUAAAACAGAACUUUUUCCCC